rnacentral:lncRNA from 13 species
UAAAGAUAGUGCAUUUGAAUAAUCUUGAACUCCACUCCCCCACACCAGGUCCAUGGAAAACUUGUCUUCUACAAAAGUGAUCCCUGGUGCCAAAAAGGUUGUGGACCACUGAUUCUUGAAUCAGAUUAUUGAGACAAUUCAUGCAAGUGGCAAGAAGCACCAAAACUGGGGAGGAAGCAGUGGAAACCCAGGCAGGUGGAGUGGAGUUACAAGCACAUGAUAAUGCUAACGCUGUAGAACCUGAAUUGAAUCCAGGAUCUCACACAUGGCCAGCACCCAGAAACACUCCAAAAAAAGGAACCCAAGCAGACCAGGCCUGUGAAGAUAGGAGACAGUCUGUUGGACGCUUAAUGAUUUAUAACAAGUACACAAGAAUGCCAUUAAAAACUAAUUCAUCACUGGCAGGCUAAAUGAUUUGCAAACAUCUGCUCUGCAACAGGACCCUCUUGGGAAGAGAAUUUCCAAGGGUUGAAAAGUCCUUCUAAUGUAGCUAUUGCAUACGGGAGUUAAGACACAGACACCCGCGUUUGGGUCACCAGCUUUCCAUCCAAAGUGAUUAAUUAGAGUGAUGCUUAAAUGUCUCCUUCUGACCUGCCUCGUUCGUGUGCUGGAACUCACUCUAAAAGCUGGUUGCCCUCCAGAGUGAUAUGCAGAUUAUGACAUGGCUGUCCUUUACCCCGGAGGUUCGUUCUCCGAGAUGACUAAGUUUCUUAGAAAUGGUAGGUCUCCACCUUUAAAUCUGCUGACUUGACCUUCUAUCAGACAGCAAAUCCCAAUACAACUGAGUUCUCAGGCUAAAGCUGUCUGCUUUUUCUUGCCUUGAACUUCACAGUGGCUCACAUUCAUCUGGAACUGGCUGUGGGUCCCUCCCUAUCCUUCAGGCAAUUUCAAGUCAUUCCUAAAUUUAUCGUUAUAAAUAAAAAAUCUAUAGAAAAGGAUAUAUCUAUAUCU